GACGAACGCUGGCGGCGUGCCUAAUACAUGCAAGUAGAACGCUGAAGGAGGAGCUUGCUUCUCUGGAUGAGUUGCGAACGGGUGAGUAACGCGUAGGUAACCUGCCUGGUAGCGGGGGAUAACUAUUGGAAACGAUAGCUAAUACCGCAUAAGAGUAGAUGUCGCAUGACAUUUGCUUAAAAGGUGCAAUUGCAUCACUACCAGAUGGACCUGCGUUGUAUUAGCUAGUUGGUGAGGUAACGGCUCACCAAGGCAACGAUACAUAGCCGACCUGAGAGGGGGAUCGGCCACACUGGGACGGAGACACGGCCCAGACUCCUACGGGAGGCAGCAGUAGGGAAUCUUCGGCAAUGGACGGAAGUCUGACCGAGCAACGCCGCGUGAGUGAAGAAGGGUUUCGGAUCGUAAAGCUCUGUUGUAAGAGAAGAACGAGUGUGAGAGUGGAAAGUUCACACUGUGACGGUAUCUUACCAGAAAGGGACGGCUAACUACGUG
rnacentral:rRNA from 1 species